rnacentral:rRNA from 1 species
UGGGGAAUAUUGCACAAUGGGGGAAACCCUGAUGCAGCGACGCCGCGUGAGCGAAGAAGGCCUUCGGGUCGUAAAGCUCUUUUAUGAGGGAAGAUAAUGACGGUACCUCAAGAAAAAGCCCCGGCUAACUACGUGCCAGCAGCCGCGGUAAUACGUAGGGGGCUAGCGUUGUCCGGAAUCACUGGGCGUAAAGCGCACGUAGGCGGACUUUUAAGUCAGGGGUGAAAUCCCGGGGCUCAACCCCGGAACUGCCUUUGAUACUGGAAGUCUUGAGUAUGGUAGAGGUGAGUGGAAUUCCGAGUGUAGAGGUGAAAUUCGUAGAUAUUCGGAGGAACACCAGUGGCGAAGGCGGCUCACUGGACCAUUACUGACGCUGAGGUGCGAAAGCGUGGGGAGCAAACAGG